CAUACAUAUACAUUCACAUAUAUAUAUGUAUGCAGAUAUAGACGUAUGUAUAUAGAUUAGGAGAGGGAUGGAAGGCGGGCGCAAUGCCACAAGAUUUAAUAAAGUCUCGACUAGGCAAGGAGACGCGUACGUAACAGGGGCAUUUCGCAUAUCCGAGAAACCAAAAGCAAAGCCAAGAAAAUUAAAGGAAUACAAAGAAAACCAAUCAAGAAGAAGAAGAGCGAAAACUACUCAGAAGAACAUGAGGAAGCAGCAGCAGCGGCAGCCGGCAAAAAAUUGUGCAAAGUUUGUUUGUGCGAAAUCUUCAAAUAUCCGAUAUUAGAAUAGAAAUAGAGAAUAUUUUCUUCUUUUUUUUGCGUUUUCCAAUACUGAAAGCUUUUAAUGGCAUAUCUAUAUAUAAUUUCGAAUUUUUA